rnacentral:misc_RNA from 1 species
GCAAUGUUAAAAUUGUCUCCGUGUGACUUAUAGGUCACUGUUUCAAGCCGUAGAAUCAGUCACUGAUGCUUGUGUCGGGGUACACUCACUUGGGGUGCAGGCUCUUCCCUGGACCUUAUGUGAACACAGGAUGCUUCGUGCAUGAGCGUCCCCUUUAAAGUAGAAGAAAUAGCUUAGCAUGUUUGGUAAGAUGAUAUUCAUUAUGACUUAUGAGGUAAUUGCCAUAAAUUCCAGGUUUCUUGCUAAGUAUCAUUUCGACAUCUCAAAGUUGGAGCCCUUAGUAGCAAAGCCUCAUUCUCCUGGCAAUCGUGCUUUGGCAAGAGAAUGCGAAGAUGUUAAGAUUGACAGAGUAUAUAUUGGAUCUUGUACCGGUGGGAAAACAGAAGACUUCAUGGCUGCUGCCAAAGUUUUUCUA